GCACUUUGGUCAGCAGGUGGAGAAAUAUCUGCACAUGCGCAGAUGGACAGCACAUUCAAAGAUCACUCUUCAGCGAUCGGCGCCAUUUUUGAAUCAGACGAAGAUAACAGUGCCAAACGAGGAACGUUUUCAUUAUGUGGAAACACAGAACAACUUUGAGUAAGUAAAACUCCCAUGAGCCUCUCACACAUCCAGAUCAAAUCCAGCACUCUUUAUAGAGCAAGAGUUGGAUUACAACAAUCCCUUUGGUCUCCAAAUAUAUGGGACUGCUUGAUCAUUUCUCAAACCAAAGAAAGGAGCAGCAGCAGCACAGAAGAUCACAAACAUCCUGUCAGUUAUGGCUCAGGUAUGUUAUCUAAAUUCACUGUCAUUUUAAAUCUGACAAUAA
rnacentral:lncRNA from 1 species